AUUGAACGCUGGCGGCAUGCCUUACACAUGCAAGUCGAACGGCAGCGGACCUUCGGGUGCCGGCGAGUGGCGAACGGGUGAGUAAAGUAUCGGAACGUACCUUUCAGUGGGGGAUAACUGUCCGAAAGGACAGCUAAUACCGCAUAUUCUGUGAGCAGGAAAGCAGGGGAUCGCAAGACCUUGCGCUGAUUGAGCGGCCGAUAUCAGAUUAGCUAGUUGGUGAGGUAAAGGCUCACCAAGGCGACGAUCUGUAGCGGGUCUGAGAGGAUGAUCCGCCACACUGGAACUGAGACACGGUCCAGACUCCUACGGGAGGCAGCAGUGGGGAAUUUUGGACAAUGGGGGCAACCCUGAUCCAGCCAUGCCGCGUGAGUGAAGAAGGCCUCGGUGUAAG
rnacentral:rRNA from 1 species